rnacentral:rRNA from 1 species
UACGAAGGGGGCUAGCGUUGUUCGGAUUUACUGGGCGUAAAGCGCACGUAGGCGGAUCGUUAAGUCGGGGGUGAAAUCCUGGAGCUCAACUCCAGAACUGCCUUCGAUACUGGCGAUCUUGAGUCCGGAAGAGGUGAGCGGAACUCCUAGUGUAGAGGUGGAAUUCGUAGAUAUUAGGAAGAACACCAGUGGCGAAGGCGGCUCACUGGGCCGAGUACUGACGCUGAGGAGCGAAAGCGUGGGGAGCGAACGAGGA